CUUACUGAAUCAAACUAAAUACACAUGUUUGAAAGUUCAGUCAUUGUUCUUCUUCCAAAACACAUGAUUCUCACACAUGGACAUUUGUCUCUCAUGCAACCCAUUCACCACUUUUCCCUUUCCCUUUCUCAGUUACGGGGUGUCUCUGACCCUCAUUUUCUCUUCCCAUAAACAAACAUUCAGUGAGUAAAUACCGUGUGAAAGGUACUGUCCUGGGUAUUCUUUCUCAUGCCUUUAAUUUCCACCAUUAAAAAAUUAUUAUAUACACACAUAUGUGUUUAUCAACACCCGCUGUGUGCUAGCCCCUAGACUCUGAAGUCGUGGAGAUGGAUGAACGAUGUCUCCUGCUUUCCAUGAAUGCAGAGUCAAGCAGAAGAAGUAAACCACAAGCCAUAGAAAGUCCAUGUCCAACAGUGUGGAUUGGAGCUAAAUAACAAAAGAAUGCAUGGGAUAGACAAGAUAGAGUAUAUGGAGAGGUAAUGACCUCAAGGGUGUUGCAGGACUUCCCAGAAAGAGCUAAGCCCCACCGUUCUGUAACUCUAGGGCACGUAGAACCAGGCAUGUAGUAGAUAUCCGAUACAUUUUUAUAAACAGAAUCACACUGACUAAACAUAAAUUUGGAGAAAGACAUGACAUGGAACAUGGCUGGAGGGUUUAUUUGGCUCAACGGAUUUUUCUCUGCUGUGCAGUGAGGAAUCCUGAAGAAGGUUAAAUGGAAGAGCACGGGAUCGGAUUUGCUGGAUGUGUGGCUGGUACCAGUGAUGUAGAGAAAGAGGUGGACGCAGAGAAAUGUGCCGAGUGGACACUCCUUGCAGCAUCCCUUACCCCAUUUUCAGGUAAAAUCACACCAGUUUUCCUUGGGAGAUGAACUCUCCAUCACUGAAUGAAUACUUGAUGACCUACCCUACUGAAUUAAAGGUGUGGAAAGUAACAUGAGCCAGACCAGUUUUACAGAUGGAAACACUGAAUCUCCAAGAGGCGGUGAAAGCGGCCCACGGUCCCACCUUAGGAGGCGAGAAGGAGGCACACACCUGCCUGCCCCCGGAAUGGACACUCUCCGUCGCACCCAGACACUGCCUCCACCGACGCGGAACACAUACAGGACCCGCAGUAGUUUCGGUUACAUAUAAGAAAACCAUCUCUUUAUUUACCUGAGCUUCUCCUCAUGUCCCUGGACAAGUAAUUAAACCAAAU